CUCCCCUUCUAGGAGAGGCCAAGGGUCAGGAGCAGGAGGAGGGACGUCUUCCAGAUGCAGAGAGUUUACGAGGCAAUGGGGACAUAAGGGAGCCAACCUCAGCCACCUUCCGCUUCCCGCAGAAAAUGGUCAGAGGACGACGCUUCAACCCACCUUUAGACAAGGACGGAAGAUGGUUCCCUCAGAUUGGACUAGCGCAGAAGACACCAGAAUCCAUCACAAGUGCUAUGUUGAAAGAACCCCACAGCCCACGUGUGUCUCAGCAAGUGGAGGGGAGGCUGCCCCCAAUCUACAAGGUUCGAGAGAAGCAAGCGGUAGAUAACAACUUCCCCUUCUCCGUACACGACAACCGCUACAGCUUUCAGAGCUCUGGAUGCUACCUUGACUCUGGCCUGGGACGUAGGAAGAUCUCCCCAGAGAAAAGGCAACACGUUUCAAGAAAUUUCAAUCUGUGGGCAUGUGACUAUGUCCCAUCUUAUCUUGAUGGCUUUUCAAAUAACCAAAUAUCUUAUGUCUGUCAAGAAAUCGUGGUGGUCCCAAUUUUCAGACGCUUCCCAAAGCAUUAUAAUGAGAUAUGGAACUCUUUUAAAUUUAUUCCUCAGAGAAGCUAUACAGAGUUUAUGAAAAAGAAUCCCAAAUUCAAACAAUACAGAGGAACCAGAAGUCCCCCUUGAUUUCAUCACAUCUCCGAUCCUUGUCCUGUCCCCAGAAUAACAACUGCACUUACGAAUGUGUCUUUGAAGUUUCAAAACGUACAGCGUGGUGGUUCAACGCUCCUGUACGACACCCGGUGCUCAUCACAGCAAGUGCGGUCCUUAGACCCCAUCACCAUUCCACCAUUCCCCCUGCUCGCCUCCCCCUGGUAACCACCACUUUGUUCUCUAGAGUUAAGAGUCUGUUUCUUGGUU